rnacentral:rRNA from 1 species
UACGUAGGGGGCAAGCGUUGUCCGGAUUUAUUGGGCAUAAAGAGCGUGUAGGCGGCCAGACAGGUCCGUUGUGAAAACUCGAGGCUCAACCUCGAGACGCCGAUGGAAACCGUCUGGCUAGAGUCCGGAAGAGGAGAGUGGAAUUCCCGGUGUAGCGGUGAAAUGCGCAGAUAUCGGGAAGAACACCCGUGGCUAAGGCGGCUCUCUAGUACGGUACUGACGCUGAGACGCGAAAGCGUGGGGAGCGAACAGG